GUGGGGAAUUUUGGACAAUGGGCGCAAGCCUGAUCCAGCAAUGCCGCGUGCAGGAAGAAGGCCUUCGGGUUGUAAACUGCUUUUGUACGGAACGAAACGGUCCGGGUUAAUACCCUGGGCUAAUGACGGUACCGUAAGAAUAAGCACCGGCUAACUACGUGCCAGCAGCCGCGGUAAUACGUAGGGUGCAAGCGUUAAUCGGAAUUACUGGGCGUAAAGCGUGCGCAGGCGGUUUUGUAAGACAGGCGUGAAAUCCCCGGGCUCAACCUGGGAAUUGCGCUUGUGACUGCAAGGCUGGAGUGCGGCAGAGGGGGAUGGAAGUCCGCGUGUAGCAGUGAAAUGCGUAGAUAUGCGGAGGAACACCGAUGGCGAAGGCAAUCCCCUGGACCUGUACUGACGCUCAUGCACGAAAGCGUGGGGAGCAAACAGGAUUAGAACCCCGUGUAGUCC
rnacentral:rRNA from 1 species